rnacentral:rRNA from 1 species
AUUGAACGCUGGCGGCAGGCCUAACACAUGCAAGUCGAACGGUAGCACAGAGAGCUUGCUCUCGGGUGACGAGUGGCGGACGGGUGAGUAAUGUCUGGGAAACUGCCCGAUGGAGGGGGAUAACUACUGGAAACGGUAGCUAAUACCGCAUAACGUCGCAAGACCAAAGUGGGGGACCUUCGGGCCUCACACCAUCGGAUGUGCCCAGAUGGGAUUAGCUAGUAGGUGGGGUAAUGGCUCACCUAGGCGACGAUCCCUAGCUGGUCUGAGAGGAUGACCAGCCACACUGGAGCUGAGACACGGUCCAGACUCCUACAGGAGGCAGCAGUGGGGAAUAUUGCACAAUGGGCGCAAGCCUGAUGCAGCCAUGCCGCGGGUAUGAAGAAGGCCUUCGGGUUGUAAAGUACUUUCAGCGGGGAGGAAGGCGGUGAAGUUAAUAGCUUCACCGAUUGACGUUACCCGCAGAAGAAGCACCGGCCAACUCCGUGCCAGCCGCCGCGGUAA